rnacentral:rRNA from 1 species
CAGCCAUCCCGCGUGUGCGAUGAAGGCCUUCGGGUUGUAAAGCACUUUUGGCAGGAAAGAAACGUCAUGGGUUAAUACCCCGUGAAACUGACGGUACCUGCAGAAUAAGCACCGGCUAACUACGUGCCAGCAGCCGCGGUAAUACGUAGGGUGCAAGCGUUAAUCGGAAUUACUGGGCGUAAAGCGUGCGCAGGCGGUUCGGAAAGAAAGAUGUGAAAUCCCAGAGCUUAACUUUGGAACUGCAUUUUUAACUACCGGGCUAGAGUGUGUCAGAGGGAGGUGGAAUUCCGCGUGUAGCAGUGAAAUGCGUAGAUAUGCGGAGGAACACCGAUGGCGAAGGCAGCCUCCUGGGAUAACACUGACGCUCAUGCACGAAAGCGUGGGGAGCAAACAGGAUUAG